GACUCUGCACACUAAGAAAUCGGUGAAGGCGCAGACAUUGCUUGGCUGGGGAACAGUGUCCGCCGAGGGACAAAAAGCCUUGACAUGCGCAAUAAAAACUGAAAUACUGUAUCAAUGGACCAAUUGAGGCAAAGGCCAGAACGACAGCCUUCGUUAGCCCUCCCACUGCCGCCUUGCCAACGCUACAGUGUAGUGUGUGGAGGUAUAGCACAGCUGCUUAUCCAAGGAGAGAUCUCUAAAAGGUUGAAGGACAAAUUCCACUGAAGUGCUCAAACUGGAGCCCUCCUGCAAUGUCUGAGUCAGAAGGUUACCUAAAGCAUCCUUCAGGUGAUCCAGCAGUGAUGGAAGGCAACUCUCCUUCAUAUCUUUAUUAAACCCAAGGAUGAAUAAAGUCUCGUGAAAUGCUGGCAUCAUAAAAGGUAAAAUGUGGCACUUCCGAAAGACAGGUCCACUAAGGAUGUGCAGAGAGCCUGGGAGGAAAUCUGGAGAAUGGAUGACAGCUUCAACAUGGACAAGAAGAGAAGGCCUGAGGCCAAGCUUGACCUGUUCACAGAUUUCUUCCUGAGCAGCUUUGCAGCCGUCUCUCACAGGACUCUUGGGAAGGGUACAUUCUGAAACAGACACAGGAAUUUCUUCCAGUUCUUGUGUUAUUUCACCAUUCAAGAACUUAGAACAUGAGUUAUCUUCAUGUAGACAAACCCAAACAGUAGGCAGAAGGUCACAGGUCGCUGGAGGGAGGACACUGGGGCCUCCCUGUGACAACAAAGGGAGGGGACACUUCAGCCUUUUUAAGGAAAAAGCUUUACCCAAUUCAGCAAUGAGUUUCUCAUUGAUGGUUCUGACAGGAUGACAGGAAGGUGCUUCAAGGAACCGCCUGUUUAAACACAUAAAAUAACUUCUCACUGACAGUAAUAAUUACAUCUGCUAGAAUUAAAGUCAUCUGUUCUUAUACAGAAAACAUGUAUCCUUAAACUUAUCCUGACAAUAAAUCAUUGGUCAUAUGGAGAAA